UACGAAGGGGGCUAGCGUUGCUCGGAAUUACUGGGCGUAAAGGGAGCGUAGGCGGACAUUUAAGUCAGGGGUGAAAUCCCGAGGCUCAACCUCGGAACUGCCUUUGAUUCUGGAUGUCUUGAGUGUGAGAGAGGUGAGUGGAACUCCGAGUGUAGAGGUGAAAUUCGUAGAUAUUCGGAAGAACACCAGUGGCGAAGGCGACUCACUGGCUCAUUACUGACGCUGAGGCUCGAAAGCGUGGGGAGCAAACAGG
rnacentral:rRNA from 1 species